rnacentral:lncRNA from 1 species
AAAAAAAAAAAGAAAUAGAAAAAGUCGGGAACCUGGCAAGCUGCCUAACUGCUCUGUGCGUCGGUGUCCUCACCUGUGAUGCGGGGACAAAGCUGAAGAAGCCAGCAACCUGAAAACACCAAUGGGCACAGACAGAAGAACCUGCUCGCUCCAGCCAGAGACGUAUGAGGACUUGUAGGAAGUACUACCAAGGAAGUACUACUUAGAAGACUGUACCAUUGCUCUUCUCUAAGGCUUGCAUUGUGUCA